AUUACUGUAUGGGCAAAGGGGUAUGACUGUAUGGGCAGGGUCAAGGAGAUGUGUCCGGAGCCAAGGUCUUAUUUGAUUCAAUCUGGCGGACGUCUCCAGAGACAUAUUCUGCCAGUAAAUGAGCCGGUGCCAUUGAGGCAGGUUCAGUAUGAUUAUGUAGAUGACCCAGAUGAUGUGUAUGUGACAGCAGACGGUGAGCAGUCGUGGGAUCAGGACUUUGUUUCUGCACCUGCAAAAGGACUGCCAAUGGGACUGGUGCCGAUGAUGAUGAAUCCUGUAAAGCCUGUCGACAAAUCCCCUGCAAAACCUGCGCUGGUUGAGUCGUUGUCGCUGCUAAGAAACUCCCGAUGGAGGCCGUGCCUGUGCAACAUCUCCUGUGAGAGGCACGGCUGAAGGCCUGUACCGUACAUGUGCAGGACAGGUCAGCAAGCCCGUGGCCAGAUACGGGGAUUAUAUCUAGAUGCAGAUCUUGGACUCUAAACUAUAACCCACGUUACUUAUAUUCCUUGCAAUGUAUCCUCCAUUGCUUUACUGUAGAUGAUAGUUAAUUUUAUAGCUUUAUAUACAUAUUACUUCUGCAUGCUUUAUGUUUGCCCUCUGGGCUGAAGCCUAAGAAGGGGGAUGUAGAUCGAACAGUAUUGCUGAUUUGUUCCGUGUCUGGUUUUGCUGCUGACCUAAUCCAUAAUACAUGUCGGGUUUCCACACUACCACCUAGUGGCAUGCGGGCAGCCCUGUUAGUCAGUUCAACAUGACUCCCAGCCUACAGUACUCAUUUUGAUGGUCUCUGUAUGUAUUCUAAUUAAAGUACUUGUUAUGAUA